CAAAUACUCCCUCCGUACGGAAAUACUUAUCAUCAAAAUGGAUAAAAGGAAAUGUAUCAAGACGUAUUUUAGUUAUAGAUACAUCUCUUUUUAUCCAUUUUGAUGACAAGUAUUUUUCGGAUGGAGGGAGUUUUUA
rfam:Triticum aestivum genome assembly, contig: Triticum_aestivum_CS42_TGACv1_scaffold_423439_5BS